rnacentral:tRNA from 1 species
GGAUAUAGCUCAGUUGGUAGAGUGCUUGCCUCAUGUGUACAAGGCCCUGGGUUCAAUCCCCAGCACUG